rnacentral:RNase_P_RNA from 1 species
GCGGAGGGCCGGAUGGCCGCUGUGGCGGGGCAUACCCGGCGCAGAGGAAAGUCCGGACUCCAUGAAGCAUCGGUGCCGGGUAACGCCCGGGCGGGACCGGCGGGGCAACCUGCCGCGGCCCCGACGGAAAGCGCCACAGAGAACAGACCGCCGGCCCCCGGGCCGGCAAGGGUGAAACGGUGGGGCAAGAGCCCACCGCGGGGCCGGCAACGGCCACGGCACGGCAAGCCCCACCGGGAGCAAUGCCGAAUAGGACCCCCGCGCGGGCCGGUCCGGGCAACCGGAUACCGCCGCUAGGCCCGCUUCAGCCAAGAGGGGUCGGGUUGGCAGCAAGAGGCGCGCGGCGACGCGCGCCCCAGAUGAAUGGUCAUCGAACGGCGGGGCGACCCGCCGGGAACAGAAUCCGGCUUACAGGCCCUCCGCGCGC